rnacentral:rRNA from 1 species
UACGUAGGGUCCGAGCGUUGUCCGGAAUUAUUGGGCGUAAAGGGCUCGUAGGCGGCCAACUAAGUCAGACGUGAAAUCCCCAGGCUUAACCUGGGAACUGCGUCUGAUACUGGAUGGCUUGAAUUCGGGAGAGGGAUGCAGAAUUCCAGGUGUAGCGGUGAAAUGCGUAGAUAUUGGGAAGAACACCGAUGGCGAAGGCAGCCAUCUGGACCGACACUGACGCUGAGGCGCGAAA